ACCACACUGAAACCCAUCAAAAAAGAAGAGGGUUUUUCGGCAUGAUGGCACAUGCUACAAUCCUGACUUCUGUUAUGAUAGCAGGAAGAUUCUGAAUUGAUGAAGGCAGUCUCAACAACAUAUUUUCCUCAAUAUACCAGCUUGCUUCUGCUGAUUUUAUGGAAUGAUGACCAAACACAGCUUGGAAAGAAGUGGUUUAUGUCAGUUUAUUGUGCAUCAUGCGAAGAAACCAAGGGCAAGAACUGUCCAAGAAUGUUCCCUCUGAACCAUCCAGAAACUAUGAGAAAUGCUAUGUAGGUCAUGCUAAUCAAGUCCUGAACUCUGAGAGUGGAGCCUGGUCUCUUGAAUCGACAAAAAAUGCUCUCAGUGUUCCAAUACAUGAGCUGCAGAGAUGAAGCAAAGUUAAGGGCACUGGCUACAAUUCCAGAGGACCCAGUUUCCUACCUGGCAGUUCAAAACGAUUCCAAACCAUUACAGGAAUGGACAUUUGCGAUUCAACAUCACCGCUGAGUAAGAACCAUUAAAGUAGGAUCUGUCACAUGAUUGGAUGGAUGAAAAUGGAGUAAAGAAUUUUCAACUUC